GAGGAGCUGGACAAGUACUGGUCUCAGCAGAUCGAGGAGAGCACCACAAUGGUCACCACACAGACCACUGAGAUCGGAGAAGCUGAGAUG
rnacentral:pre_miRNA from 1 species